UACGUAGGGUGCAAGCGUUGUCCGGAAUUAUUGGGCGUAAAGAGCUCGUAGGCGGUUUGUCGCGUCUGCUGUGAAAACGCGAGGCUCAACCUCGCGCCUGCAGUGGGUACGGGCAGACUAGAGUGCGGUAGGGGAGAUUGGAAUUCCUGGUGUAGCGGUGGAAUGCGCAGAUAUCGAAGGAGGAACACCGAUGGCGAAGGCAGAUCUCUGGGCCGUAACUGACGCUGAGGAGCGAAAGCGUGGGGAGCGAACAGG
rnacentral:rRNA from 1 species